CCAUCAUAUUCAAUUUUAUUGGCAAUAUGGAUGUUACUGCAUUAAUUAUUUUUCUUUGAUCCAAACAAACAUAGGGAUCACAAUCCUUCCAAAAAAGAAUAUAGGGACCACAAAUACCCGGACAAGUUGCUGACACAUAGAGACCAAUGACUUGCCUUCUCUACCUAUGGUUAGGAUUGAAAAAGAUAUUUCUUCUUGUUAAUGACUAAUUAUCUACUUAGUUUAUAGCAAGGUUUGGUCUAGAAUUGGAUGGCAACAACAGUUAAGGCCGGCUUAACUAACUUUACAUGCUAAUAAGAGUAGGCCUCCCUUUA
rnacentral:lncRNA from 1 species